GAAUAUCUGACAUAUCUCCCCAACUCUGACCUUGAGGGAGACAAUAAAAGGGGACCUGGCCACUUGUUUCGAGGCUAACCCGUUUAGACAUUACCGAGAGCAUCUACAACAUUACAGGAGUUUUGAGUGCAGGUUCGGGACCCAAAGCUUUAAUAAUGUCCCGCUAUAUGGAACUGAGGGAAUUCGGCGAUGCGGCCACAUUCCUGCGUAAAACCAAUCUGGAACAGCUCGCUGCCCAGGCCCACGCGUUUGACGG